UGUUCGGUGGAGAAUUCAAUUUUCCUGAAGGACGCCCAUCAACUCAUUUUGACACAUUCCCUGUUGCAUUAAUAACAGUGUUUCAAAUUUCGAACCGGAGAUAAUGAUUGAAAGGAACAGACGGGGGCAUUCGUAUUGCUGCGUUAGAGGUGAAAUUCUUGGAUCGCAGCAAGAUGAACAAUUGCGAAAGCAUUUGCCAAGAAUGUUUUCAUUAAUCAAGAACGAAAGUUAGAGGUUCGAAGGCGAUCAGAUACCGCCCUAGUUCUAACGGUAAACUAUGCCAACCAGCGAUUCGCCGAAGUUCAUUUAAGACUCGGCGAGCAGCUUCCGGGAAACCAAAGUGUUUCGGUUCCGGGGGAAGUAUGGUUGCAAAGCUGAAACUUAAAGGAAUUGACGGAAGGGCACCACCAGGAGUGGAGCCUGCGGCUUAAUUUGACGCAACACGGGAAAACUCACCCGGCCCGGACACUGGAAGGAUUGACAGAUUGACAGCUCUUUCUUGAUUCAGUGGGUAGUGGUGCAUGGCCGUUCUUAGUUGGUGGAGCGAUUUGUCUGGUUAAUUCCGAUAACGAACGAGACUCUACCCUAUUAAAUAGUGACAGUAUUGUAUUUUUUGUGCUGAUCACUUCUUAGAGGGACUGGCAAAAAGCUGCACGAAAAAGAGCAAUAACAGGUCUGUGAUGCCCUUCGAUGUCCGGGGCUGCACGCGCGCUACAAUGAAAGCGUCAACGUGAGUUACGUCCUUACCUGAAAAGGUUUGGCAAUCGAAUGAAACGUUUUCUUGAAUGGAAUAGGGAAUUGCAAUUGUUUCCCUUGAACGAGGAAUUCCCAGUAAGCGUGAGUCAUUAGCUCGCGUUGAUUACGUCCCUGCCCUUUGUACACACCGCCCGUCGCUACUACCGAUUGGAUGAUUUAGUGAGGUGUUUUGACUGGCGCCAGUAGUCGGAUAUGUAUUCGGACGGAUCGUACAAACCGACCUUUCGAAACGGCGGCCAGACGUUCUCGUCAUCCGAAUAGUCCGACGGAUCCUGGUAG
rnacentral:rRNA from 1 species